CCUACGGGGGGCAGCAGUGAGGAAUAUUGGUCAAUGGCCGGAAGGCUGAACCAGCCAAGCCGCGUGAAGGACGAAGGUGCCAAGCAUUGUAAACUUCUUUUGUCAAGGGACAAAAUCAGGCUCGAGAGCCUGACCGAGGGUACUUGAAGAAAAAGCAUCGGCUAACUCCGUGCCAGCAGCCGCGGUAAUACGGAGGAUGCGAGCGUUAUCCGGAUUUAUUGGGUUUAAAGGGUGCGUAGGCGGACUGUUAAGUCAGCGGUAAAAGCCCGGGGCUCAACCCCGGCGAGCCGUUGAAACUGGGUGUCUUGAGAUGGCGAGAGGUAGGGGAAAGGCGCAGUGUAGCGGUGAAAUGCUUAGAUAGAGCGAAGAACUCCGAUUGCGAGGGCAGCAUACCGGCGGCGAUCUGAGGCGGAGGCACGAAAGCGUGGGUAUCGAACAGGAUUAGAUACCCGUGUAGUC
rnacentral:rRNA from 1 species